rnacentral:rRNA from 1 species
UCGAACGCCCUGGUUCGCCAGGGAGUGGCGCACGGGUGAGUAACGCGUGGGAACCUGCCCGGCAGUACGGGACAACCGCGGGAAACUGCGGCUAAUACCGUAUACGGCCUGAGGGCGAAAGAAAUUCGCUGUCGGAGGGGCCCGCGUCGGAUUAGGUAGUUGGUGGGGUAACGGCCUACCAAGCCUGCGAUCCGUAGCUGGUCUGAGAGGAUGAUCAGCCACACUGGGACUGAGACACGGCCCAGACUCCUACGGGAGGCAGCAGUGGGGAACAUUGGACAAUGGGCGCAAGCCUGAUCCAGCAAUGCCGCGUGAGUGAUGAAGGCCUUAGGGUUGUAAAGCUCUUUCGCCCGCGACGAUGAUGACGGUAGCGGGAGAAGAAGCCCCGGCUAACUCCGUGCCAGCAGCCGCGGUAAUACGGAGGGGGCUAGCGUUG